GGCAUGUGGCUCAAGUGGUAGCGCACUCGCCUGGCAUGCAUGCGUGAGGCACUGGGUUCGAUUCUCAGCACCA
rnacentral:tRNA from 1 species